UACGGAGGGUGCAAGCGUUAUCCGGAUUCACUGGGUUUAAAGGGUGCGUAGGCGGGCAGGUAAGUCAGUGGUGAAAUCUCCAAGCUUAACUUGGAAACUGCCAUUGUUACUAUCUGUCUUGAAUGUUGUGGAGGUGAGCGGAAUAUGUCAUGUAGCGGUGAAAUGCUUAGAUAUGACAUAGAACACCAAUUGCGAAGGCAGCUCACUACACAAAUAUUGACGCUGAGGCACGAAAGCGUGGGGAUCAAACAGG
rnacentral:rRNA from 1 species